rnacentral:tRNA from 1 species
ACUAGUUUAGUAUAUUCAGUACGUAGGAUUGUAGCUCUUGAGGUGGUAUUUUUUAUUGGCUAGGA